rnacentral:rRNA from 1 species
UGGGGAAUUUUGGACAAUGGGCGAAAGCCUGAUCCAGCAAUGCCGCGUGUGUGAAGAAGGCCUUCGGGUUGUAAAGCACUUUUGUCCGGAAAGAAAUCCUUGGCUCUAAUACAGUCGGGGGAUGACGGUACCGGAAGAAUAAGCACCGGCUAACUACGUGCCAGCAGCCGCGGUAAUACGUAGGGUGCAAGCGUUAAUCGGAAUUACUGGGCGUAAAGCGUGCGCAGGCGGUUUGCUAAGACCGAUGUGAAAUCCCCGGGCUCAACCUGGGAACUGCAUUGGUGACUGGCAGGCUAGAGUAUGGCAGAGGGGGGUAGAAUUCCACGUGUAGCAGUGAAAUGCGUAGAGAUGUGGAGGAAUACCGAUGGCGAAGGCAGCCCCCUGGGCCAAUACUGACGCUCAUGCACGAAAGCGUGGGGAGCAAAACAGGAUUAGAUACCCUGGUAGUCCACGCCCUAAAACGAUGUCAACUAGUUGUUGGGGAUUCAUUUCCUUAGUAACGUAGCUAACGCGUGAAGUUGACCGCCUGGGGAGUAC